UUACCCCAGCUGGUGAGGACCGGGUUCUGAAUGCGACGCCUCUUCUGCCCUCAACGGCCACUAGAGUCGGGUAGAAGGCUGCUUCGGACACAACCCCAAAGCACGCAGCUCCUGGGUCUAGAACACAAGUGGCGGCCAGAGCAUUGUUCAUUCUGGUGGAAGAUUGCAGACAACUACAUACCCCUGACCAGGCACCGACUUCUUACAGCACCUCUGGGACCUCCGUACAGCAGGGUGUUGUAAUGGGGUAAGUCUGUGCACACCAACCUAGGGGAUGGCCAAGCUAUCUGUGUUGUGACAAUUUGCAGUGUCCCAGCACAAGGGGUUUUGGAUAUUCUUGGUACCUUUAUGGGAAAGCCUUUAAUAACUGGGAAGAUAUUCUUAUGUCAUUUUUCUCUUCAGGUAUGCUACUCCCUUCUCCGCUUUUCACAUAUGAAAAAACUGGGUUCCUGAGAGAAGGGACUUGCCUGAUAAUGAAGCUGGGGUCCUGACUCCUGUGACAGAUCUGGGGUGGGGUCUGGAUGGGAAGGACAGGUAGGUGUGGCAUCAGCCCCUAGACUCACCUGGUUGCCUUCAGUGGGCCAUUUUAGGAAAAGCCUCAGGAACUCAAGGCCCCUCAGGCCAGAAAAGGGACUGGAUAGGUUGCAUAAGGCAGCUCCUGCUUACCCAAAUUAGAGGCUGCCGCCGAUGGGGCUCCCUGUUCAUUGUGCCUGUUUCUGGUGAACUUGAUUAUCACAUAGGUUCAAAUGAAUGUCAUGUAGGUCCACUUUCAUUAAAAGAAAAAAAAAAG
rnacentral:lncRNA from 1 species